rnacentral:rRNA from 1 species
AGAGUUUGAUCAUGGCUCAGGAUGAACGCUGGCGGCGUGCCUAACACAUGCAAGUCGAACGAACCUAAUCUUCGGAAAGGGUUAGUGGCGCACGGGUGAGUAACACGUAGGUGACCUGCCCCGAAGUGGGGGAUAACUUCUCGAAAGAGAAGCUAAUACCGCAUAUGCUCAGCCAUUCGGUUGGUUGAGUAAAGCUCCGGCGCUUCGGGAGGGGCCUGCGUCCGAUUAGCUAGUUGGUGGGGUAAUGGCCUACCAAGGCGAUGAUCGGUAGCUGGUCUGAGAGGACGAUCAGCCACACUGGCACUGACACACGGGCCAGACUCCUACGGGAGGCAGCAGUGAGGAAUAUUGGUCAAUGGGCGAAAGCCUGAACCAGCAACGCCGCGUGAGGGAUGAAGGCCUUCGGGUCGUAAACCUCUUUUCUGGGAGAAGAGACAAGGACGGUAUCCCAGGAAUAAGUCUCGGCUAACUACGUGCCAGCAGCCGCGGUAAAACGUAGGAGGCAAGCGUUAUCCGGAUUUACUGGGCGUAAAGCGCACGCAGGCGGCUGCGUAAGUCGGACGUGAAAGCUCCUGGCUCAACUGGGAGAGGUCGUUCGAAACUGCGCGGCUUGAGGUUGGAAGAGGAGAGCGGAAUUCCCGGUGUAGUGGUGGAAUGCGUAGAUAUCGGGAGGAACACCAGUGGCGAAAGCGGCUCUCUGGUCCACACCUGACGCUCAGGUGCGAAAGCGUGGGUAGCGAACGGGAUUAGAUACCCCGGUAGUCCACGCUGUA